GCCCGGAUGGCGAAACUGGUAGACGCAAGGGACUUAAAAUCCCUCGAUGGUAACAUCGUGCCGGUUCGAUUCCGGCUCCGGGCACCA
rnacentral:tRNA from 1 species